rnacentral:rRNA from 1 species
UACGAAGGGGGCUAGCGUUGCUCGGAAUCACUGGGCGUAAAGGGUGCGUAGGCGGGUUCUUAAGUCAGAGGUGAAAUCCUGGAGCUCAACUCCAGAACUGCCUUUGAUACUGAGAGUCUUGAGUUCGGGAGAGGUGAGUGGAACUGCGAGUGUAGAGGUGAAAUUCGUAGAUAUUCGCAAGAACACCAGUGGCGAAGGCGGCUCACUGGCCCGGAACUGACGCUGAGACGCGAAAGCGUGGGGAGCAAACAGG